CUUAGGUGGAGACCAGCACCCACCCUAAAAAACGGGGCGCAACCGAAAAGCCAUACGAGUAGGACCGAU
rfam:Cytophagales bacterium MC1A Contig_22, whole genome shotgun sequence.